CGAAAAUGAAAAAAAAA
rnacentral:sRNA from 1 species